ACGGGCUGAGAAGGAUCCACACGGUUGUGUGGCCCAACGUGGGCCCUUACACGACCGCUUCACCCAUUAAACCUUAGCCCCCUUUCCUUGUGUUUUUGUCUUAUUCCUACCCCAAAAAGAAACCCUAGCCGCCACUCACCAUCCCCCGCCACCGAUCCGCUUCCCCUCACUCUCACCUUCGAGCCAUGCACAACCGUCCCCUCACCCCCACCACACGACUACCCUCCCUCUCCCUCACGACUUCUUUCCCUUCCCCCACACCCUAGCCUCUCCCUCUUCCUCGGCCUUCCCCUAGCUACAACCCUACCCCAAGCCUCGUCAAGCCCCUCACCAAAGAUGCCCUCCAACCCUCCUUCUUCCCUUUUUCUUCCUUCCCCCUCACCUAUUCAAGCAAACCAUCCCCUAGCCCUCCUGCUUUUACCCAUCGACCACACUCGCCUCUUUCCCCAUUGCCACUAGUCAAGCCAUCAUUGGAGCCCCCUCCCCCACCGUCAAUCGGCGUCCUACACCCUUGCCCUUUUCAUUUUUUAUUAUUUAUUUAUUUAUUUUAAUUAUUUAUUCCUUUUAUUUUUA
rnacentral:lncRNA from 1 species